CUGCAGCCCGAGUGGUGAUCGAUUUUAUUGAGCCUAAAGCGUCCGUAGCCGGACUAGUAAACUCUUGGGUAAAUUGGGCAGCUUAACUGUCCAAAUUCCGAGAGGACUGCUAGUCUUGGGACCGGGAGAGGUCAGAGGUACUCCAGGGGUAGGGGCUAAAUCCUGUAAUCCUUUGGGGACCACCAGUGGCGAAGGCGUCUGACUAGAACGGAUCCGACGGUAAGGGACGAAACCCUGGGGCGCGAACCGGAUUAGAUACCCGCGUAGUCC
rnacentral:rRNA from 1 species